rnacentral:rRNA from 1 species
AGAGUUUGAUCCUGGCUCAGAUUGAACGCUGGCGGCAUGCCUUACACAUGCAAGUCGAACGGUAACAGGUUAAGCUGACGAGUGGCGAACGGGUGAGUAAUGCAUCGGAACGUGCCCAGUCGUGGGGGAUAACUACUCGAAAGAGUGGCUAAUACCGCAUACGACCUGAGGGUGAAAGCGGGGGACCGUAAGGCCUCGCGCGAUUGGAGCGGCCGAUGUCAGAUUAGCUAGUUGGUGGGGUAAAGGCCUACCAAGGCAACGAUCUGUAGUUGGUCUGAGAGGACGACCAGCCACACUGGGACUGAGACACGGCCCAGACUCCUACGGGAGGCAGCAGUGGGGAAUUUUGGACAAUGGGCGCAAGCCUGAUCCAGCAAUGCCGCGUGCAGGAAGAAGGCCUUCGGGUUGUAAACUGCUUUUGUCAGGGAAGAAAUCCUCUGGGCUAAUACCUCGGGGGGAUGACGGUACCUGAAGAAUAAGCACCGGCUAACUACGUGCCAGCAGCCGCGGU